AAUGCCCUGUGAAAUCCUGUCU
rnacentral:miRNA from 1 species